UACGUAGGGUGCGAGCGUUGUCCGGAUUUAUUGGGCGUAAAGAGCUUGUAGGCGGCUCGUCACGUCGGGUGUGAAAACUCGCGGCUCAACCGCGAGCCUGCACCCGAUACGGGCGGGCUGGAGUUCGGCAGGGGAGACUGGAAUUCCUGGUGUAGCAGUGAAAUGCGUAGAUAUCGAGAGGAACACCAGUGGCGAAGGCGAGUCCCUGGACAACUCCUGACACUGAGGCACGAAAGCUAGGGGAGCAAACAGG
rnacentral:rRNA from 1 species